UAGAACCACACAUUUCUUUUGAAGUGGAAAGAGUUGUAUGUCUAGUUGGAAGCAUGGAAAGAAAGGCAGGCACAGGCAAAGAGCUGGGUCUUUCCAUGCAGAAAGAACCAGGCCCAGUGUUCAGAUGUGGCUUGCAUAGGGCAUGAUUGUAACCUUGAACACCUGUGCAGAUAACAUCUUUAGCCCGAACUUGACCUGCCUGAUGUGAUUGUGGUCAGCAAAAGGAAAUAGCACUGGAGUCGUGGGUCAUUCUAGAGUAGUAGGAAUGAGAUCCUCCAAGGUAAAGAUCUCCCAACAAAAUCUUUGUUCUUGCUGGGAAGGAUGCUGCAUGCCUGUGAUCCCAGUGACUCAGGAGGCUGAGGCAGAAGGAUUGCAAGUUCAAAGCCAGCUUCAGCAACUUAGGGAGACCCUGUAUCAAAACAUAAAAAGGGCUGGGAAUGAGGCUCAGUGGGUAAACACCCUUGGUUUCAAUUCCUGGUACCAAAAACAUAAAACUUGGUUCUUCCCUAACGAAAAUGUGUGCAAAGGACAUUCAAAGGGCAAGUUUCAGUAAGAGAUGACAGAUCCCUUGAAGCAUAACUUAGGUCAGUGGGAAAAAAAUCCAGAUCAUAAUUGCCAGGACCGAUAGGGCAAUACAAAGUGUUCAUCCAAAUUGGCUACUGACUUUGGACCUCCCUAGUAGAGAAUAAACCUGAACUAAAUGUGAACUCCACAUAAUUAGAGUAGCCUUGGCACAGGAUGCCUGAGCUGGGGGUGAGGAUUCCUAGGUAUCUAGAAUGUGACAAGGAUUGAAGAUUUGACAACAGGGUAGAGGACUUGAGAAGGUCCCUCAGAAGAAAGAUUUCCUUGUAAGAAUGUAGUGCUAUGGUUUUAAUGUGUGUCCCUCCAAAAUUCAUGUUGAAACAAUCUCCAGUGCAACAAUAUGAAGAGAUGGGGCCUUGGGAGGUUAUUAGGUCUUAAGGGCUUCUUUCUGGUGAAUAAGAUAAAGGACCUUGUAAAAGGCCUCAUGCCCUUCCCAUACCAAACAGCAACAACAACAAAAAAAAACUUGGGGUGUAGAUGUACUUUAGUGAUAAAGCUCCAAUCACUUAUAGAACACACACACACAAAAAUAAAGAUGAAAAAAAUUCUGAAGCUGGAUGGUAGUGAUGGUUAAACAACAAUGUGAAU
rnacentral:lncRNA from 1 species